GGGUUGUGAGGUUAAGCGACUAAGCGUACACGGUGGAUGCCCUGGCAGUCAGAGGCGAUGAAGGACGUGCUAAUCUGCGAUAAGCGCCGGUAAGGUGAUAUGAACCGUUAUAACCGGCGAUUUCCGAAUGGGGAAACCCAGUGUGAUUCGUCACACUAUCAUUAACUGAAUCCAUAGGUUAAUGAGGCGAACCGGGGGAACUGAAACA
rnacentral:rRNA from 2 species